ACACCUCAACUCCCGUGGUUCGCCACGGUGAGCUUGGACUCUGGGGGUUUUGCUGGCCUGUGGUCGGCUCCUCUCAAAUGAAUUAGCCUGCCAGUGUUUGGUGGCGUCACGGGUGUGAUAAACUAUCUACGCUUGUGGUUUUCCACCAGGUAACCUUCAGCAGUGGAGGUUCACUGGAGCUUACAGAUGUCUCUCUUCGAUGAGGACAGCCCUUUGAAU
rnacentral:misc_RNA from 1 species